rnacentral:rRNA from 1 species
AGUAACACGUGGUAACCUGCCCCAAGAGACUGGGAUACCACCUGGAAACAGAUGCUAAUACCGGAUAACAACACUAGACGCAUGUCUAGAGUUUGAAAGAUGGUUCUGCUAUCACUCUUGGAUGGACCUGCGGUGCAUUAGCUAGUUGGUAAGGUAACGGCUUACCAAGGCAAUGAUGCAUAGCCGAGUUGAGAGACUGAUCGGCCACAUUGGGACUGAGACACGGCCCAAACUCCUACGGGAGGCAGCAGUAGGGAAUCUUCCACAAUGGACGAAAGUCUGAUGGAGCAACGCCGCGUGAGUGAAGAAGGGUUUCGGCUCGUAAAGCUCUGUUGGUAGUGAAGAAAGAUAGAGGUAGUAACUGGCCUUUAUUUGACGGUAAUUACUUAGAAAGUCACGGCUAACUACGUGCCAGCAGCCGCGGUAAUACGUAGGUGGCAAGCGUUGUCCGGAUUUAUUGGGCGUAAAGCGAGUGCAGGCGGUUCAAUAAGUCUGAUGUGAAAGCCUUCGGCUCAACCGGAGAAUUGCAUCAGAAACUGUUGAACUUGAGUGCAGAAGAGGAGAGUGGAACUCCAUGUGUAGCGGUGGAAUGCGUAGAUAUAUGGAAGAACACCAGUGGCGAAGGCGGCUCUCUGGUCUGCAACUGACGCUGAGGCUCGAAAGCAUGGGUAGCGAACAGGAUUAGAUACCCUGGUAGUCCAUGCCGUAAACGAUGUUAACUAGUUGUUGGGAAGUAAAAUUCUCAGUAACGCAGCCAACGCGAGAAGUUAACCGCCUGGGAAGUACGGUCGCAAGACUAAAACUCAAAGGAAUUGACGGGGACCCGCACAAGCGGUGGAUGAUGUGGAUUAAUUCGAUGCAACGCGAAAAACCUUACCUACCCUUGACAUGUCAGGAAGCUCUUGUAAUGAGAGCGUGCCCGCAAGGGAGCCUGAACACAGGUGCUGUAUGGCUGUCGUCAGCUCGUGUCGUGAGAUGUUGGGUUAAGUCCCGCAACGAGCGCAACCCUUGUCACUAGUUGCUACGAAAGGGCACUCUAGUGAGACUGCCGGUGACAAACCGGAGGAAGGUGGGGAUGACGUCAAGUCCUCAUGGCCCUUAUGGGUAGGGCUUCACACGUCAUACAAUGGUCGGAACAGAGGGCAGCGAAGCCGUGAGGCGGAGCCAAUCCCAGAAAACCGAUCGUAGUCCGGAUUGCAGUCUGCAACCCGACUCCACGAAGCUGGAUUCGCUAGUAAUCGCGCAUCAGCCACGGCGCGGUGAAUACGUUCCCGGGCCUUGCACUCACCGCCCGUA